rnacentral:rRNA from 1 species
UACGAAGGGGGGCUAGCGUUGUUCGGAAUUACUGGGCGUAAAGCGUGCGCAGGCGGCCAUUCAAGUCAGGGGUGAAAGCCCAGAGCUCAACUCUGGAACUGCCCUUGAAACUGUAUGGCUUGAGUAUGAGAGAGGUGAGUGGAAUUCCCAGUGUAGAGGUGAAAUUCGUAGAUAUUGGGAAGAACACCGGUGGCGAAGGCGGCUCACUGGCUCAUAACUGACG